rnacentral:rRNA from 1 species
AUACGGAGGGUGCAAGCGUUAAUCGGAAUUACUGGGCGUAAAGCGCGCGUAGGCGGCUUAUUAAGUCAGAUGUGAAAUCCCCGGGCUCAACCUGGGAACUGCAUCUGAUACUGGUAAGCUAGAGUUUUGGAGAGGGAAGUAGAAUUUCAGGUGUAGCGGUGAAAUGCAUAGAGAUCUGAAGGAAGACCAGUGGCGAAGGCGACUUCCAGGCCAAAAACUGACGCUGAGGUGCGAAAGCGUGGGUAGCAAACGGGAUUAGAAACCCCAGUAGUCC